AUGAUGAUUUGGAGAAUAUUUCUAAUCUUUUUGUUUGUUUUAGCUCAUAGUUCAUUUGUUCUUUAUGCAUCAACGAAUGAUAAAACUAUAUGGGGUCUUCCCAUAAGUGAAGAAAAGGUAAACAAAAUUUUGUCUAUUAAUCAUAUUGAGAAUUUUAAUGAUUAUCUGAAAUUUAUUAAAUUUAAGUAUGAAAUGAUUGGAAUAGCCAAUAAUCGUCUUAGAAAUAUUUCUAAUGAGGAAGCACAAAUUCUAUUAAAUUCCAAAGAUGCUUUAGUUGAAGUUCUUAAAGGAAAUGCAGAUAGGAAUGAGUUAAAAUUGCCGUACGAGGAUUUACAAGAUGUUGCUCAAUAUAUUCUCAAUGAAUUAAUUAAAAAAAAUGAGAUGAAAAAAAUAGAACAAAUAGUGUUUGAUGAAAAAUGUGAUUCAUACAGAGAUGAAUAUUAUGAAUAUAGAGAUAGACAAUUUAAAGAAGCUUUUGAGAAUGCUCAUAGUAACUGGGCAAAUAAUGAAUUAACAAAAAAUUUUGAUCCCCAAUGGAAAAAAAUGAAGUGGAAUUUAUGGGUAGAUUAUUUUAAUGAUAUUUUAUAUACCUUAAAACUUAAGGAUUACAUGCUUCAUAACUCAAUUCUUCAUUUAAAAACAAUUUCUAGCGUAUGCAAACAACUUUAUGACACCCUAAAAGCUUCAUUAAUUAAAACAUACACAAAACCUUUCGUGUUUGAAUAUAACAAAUUUCUUCACUCAUCUAUAGAAGAAUGGAAACAUAACAAUCAGAAAAAUAGUUCAGAGAAAGCGAAACUAGUGAAAAAGACAUAA